rnacentral:rRNA from 1 species
UACGAAGGGGGCUAGCGUUGUUCGGAAUUACUGGGCGUAAAGGGCGCGUAGGCGGUACUUCAAGUCAGGCGUGAAAGCCCCGGGCUCAACCUGGGAACCGCGCUUGAGACUGGAGAACUAGAGUUCGGGAGAGGAUGGUGGAAUUCCCAGUGUAGAGGUGAAAUUCGUAGAUAUUGGGAAGAACACCGAUGGCGAAGGCAGCCAUCUGGACCGACACUGACGCUG